CCCGCCUAUCUAGUCACCCCUCAGUGCCUGGAUCAAAAGUAGCAUCAUAGUUAAUGUAGUAAGAAUAGGACUUUACAGAGUUUAUCGUGUUGUUACUGCCUGUGUACCGCAAUUACUAUUUAAAAUGUCUCAAAACCAAUUAGUCAAUUUAAAGUGUCCAUCAUUAUAUGGUCCCACAGAUUCAAGCAGGAUAGAGCAUCACUCAAAAUAAGAAGAUGAAAUGGCACGCCUGAAACAUCAGGAAGAAGAAAAGGGAAACUCAAGCAACCCCAAGAAGCCAGACAAAAAAGAGAAAGACACAAGCAACCCCAAGAAGCCAGACAAAAAAGUGAAAGCUAUUAUUUUCACAGAUUCAAGCAACCCCAAGAAGCCAGACAAAAAAGAGAAAGUGAACAAAGACAAAGAAACAAGUAAACGUAAUGCUGGGACAAGUACUCUCACAUCUGUGACUUUGGUCCUAUUUAUUCUUGCAACUAUGAUGUUCUUUAUGUAUCUUGAAGUAAUUGAAUUAAGUCAAAACCUAUCAAACAGACUGGCCUACUGGACUGAAAAAAACAGAAUACUGCAAGAAGAAAUUGACAAAGUUACUGAAUUGCUUGAGGAAUGGGUGCCAUACAAAAAGAACUUCUACUACUUUUCUGAAGAAGAAGCAGACUGGGAACAUUCCAUAGAAGAGUGUAUAGAGAAAGACUCUGAACUUAUCUCUAUUAUUUACGGUGAGGAAGAGGCCUUUAUAGACCAAGAGACAGCUCGUUUGGGAUAUGGGUACUGGAUUGGGCUCCAAAAGAACAGAAGUGCACCUCAUGGCUUGUUAUGGAUUAAUAACGAAGAGGUUCGAAGACCAUACUGGAAUAUUGACGCUAAACAGCCCAAUAUUGAUGGUGAUUGCAUUUACGUAGUACCAAAAUGCAGAAUUAAAAAAUGUUGGCAUGAUGAUCUCUGCAAUAGGGAAAGAAGGUUUAUUUGCAAAAAGGUUGCCAGGCCAGUAGAUUCUUUUAGAUGAACAGAACAGGAGUCUACUAUCUCAGCGCUGAAAUCACCUGAUGAUGACACCUGAAAGCAAGUUCAUCCUGUCCUAAUCAAUCAAGUGAGUGAACUAGCAGUUAAUUUGAAGUGCCUACCAAUAUCGGUGCUCCUGCUUCGUACUUCUGGUGUUAUUGCCACUGGUCAAAAGAACCACUGUGAUGUUGCCAAUGAAGGUUUGCCAGAUGUAAGCAUAAUUGAGUGGUCUCUUCAUCUCUCAUGACAGGGAAAGAGCAGCAGAGCCAUUCUUCAGUCAGCUGUUGGGGCUAGAGAUGUGUUGAGAAGUGAUACCUCUUCCCCUGGUGAUAUGAAAGAAGAAUUUGCAGAAAUGCCUGUAGACUUCUAUGAAGCGACUCUCAUCUCACUAUGGGUUCACCAUUGUGAGAAAAGAAGACUGAGGGGAAAUAUAAUAGCACUUUUCAAAUACUUGAAAGGCUGUCAUAAAGAGGAGGGGCAGGAUCUGUUCUCAAUCAUCCCAGAGUGCAGAACACAUAAUACUGGGAUCAAGUACAAGAAACCAGAUUUACGUUGAAUAUCAGGAAAAACUUCCGACUGUAUUCCCCGAAAAUAAGACAGAGUCUUAUAUUAAUUUUUG
ensembl:lncRNA CD209 antigen-like protein E